UGCAUGGUCUCUAUAGUCUGCGCAUGGA
rnacentral:piRNA from 1 species